UACGUAGGGGGCGAGCGUUAUCCGGAUUUACUGGGCGUAAAGCGCGUUAAGGCGGUCGGCAAAGUUGGUUGUGAAAUUUCAGGGCUCAACCCUGAAACUGCGUCCAAUACUGGUCGACUAGAGUGCGAGAGAGGAAGGUGGAAUUCCCGGUGUAGUAGUGAAAUGCGCAGAUAUCAGGAGGAACACCAAUUGCGAAGGCAGCUCGCUGGGACGUUACUGACGCUGAUGCGCGAAAGCGUGGGGAGCAAACAGG
rnacentral:rRNA from 1 species